UGUGAAGAUUAAGUGAGACAAUGGGUGCAAGAUACCUGGUCUAUCAUAAGCAUUCUCAAGUGGUAGCCGGUUUCAUAUCUGAUGACCUUGGACACUACGCUCCUGUCAUGAAUUACUUGGCUGACACCUCUGAUUGUAUUGCUUGGGAAACAAUUAUCAAAAAGUAAUUUCUGCUUCUGUUUAUGAAAUGCUAAGUCAGAUGCAAAUCAACAGAGUUCUAAAGUGUUCUGAAAGGGAGAAGAGAGAGAAAUAGCAUUCAAGUCUCCUGCCUCCAAAAUUGGGGGGGGGGGGAUGAAGGAAUAAUUGAGAAUGAUAUCAAAAUAGUUAUAAAGAAUUAUAUGAACCGAUGAAAUCUGAGGGGAUGGAUGGAGCAGCCUAAGUUAGGGGAAGGAGAAGAAGCACAGUCUCUGGAAGAGGUUUUGUGAGUGGAAGAGAAAUUCUGAAGUUAGGACUGGUCUCAGUGUCAAAAAAGGAAGUUGUCGCUUUAGGAGGGCUGACUAAAUGUCCUCCGAGACUCCCUUGACUAAAAAUAUCUCUUCCAUUGGCUUGGGGUCAUUCAAAUCAGAGUCUAUCCUUAUGCAAAUGUUAGGACUUUAGAUAUUUUCUUACUCACACCACACUGUGUCCCCACCUCCGUAAUUUUGCUCAGGCUGGUCCUUCCUCUGGAGUGGUCUUCUCACUUUUCUCUACUCACCAUUUUUGUAUCGUGUCAGGAGUCACUUCUUCUGGGCGUCUUUUUCAGGCUCUUGCUCCAAUCCACCAGGACAUCCCGUACAUGUCCCUGUCACCGCAUUUACAUUUACCGCGGUGUUUAUAUCUGCUGACUUCACUAAACUGUGAGCACCCGGAAGGUGAGAACUCUCUUAUUCAUCUUUGUAACCUCGGCAGAGUGCUCAACACAUACUUAGUGUUUAAGAAAUAACAAAUGGGUGGUUGAGGUCUUAUCUAACCGUUGUACAUUUACAUUUAGAUAAGAUAUUUAGUUACCUGGAAGGAUAAAUCAGUAACGUGUUAACACAUGAACCUAAGUUAGUUUAUCUGAUUGACCCCUUUUCAGCAGCAGGAACAGAGUGGCGGAAAACCAGCAAGCUGAUUUGGGGGGAAGGUCAACAGCACCUGCUAACUUUCAGCCCUGGCUGAGAUGGAGGGAAAGAGCAAAGGUGGUUUGUGUGGACCCCCUUAGCAUGAUCCCUGUGUGAGAGAGUAGGAGAAAGCAAGAAGUACUUAGGGGAGAGCAAUCACUAUUUUAGUAUUGGCGAGAUUGUAGAAACUGAGCAAAGGCAAACUGGAUUGAGGUUCGUGGGGGUGGGCAAGUGUUGGAGAGCCUUACAACAUGGUCAUGACAGGGUAGUAUGUAGAAAUAUCCAUCAACGAAAUGCAUGAUAGUCUUUCCAGAAAAAAGCCGCCUUAUAUUUGCAGUGUUUUGUAUAUUUGCACAGAGAACUUGCUCAUUUAUCUAGGUUCUUAAAACACUCAGUUAUCUGCCCAAGAGAUGCUUUUUGACAUAAACAACUAUCUACCUGGUGUCAGAAUUUCUCAACAGAUAAGACAUGCUUGUACUCAGGAAGGAACUUCUGCAGUAAGAUAGCACACCAAACUUUUAUUGUUAAUAUGGGAAGAAAGGCGUGUGUCAGAAUAACAGGAAAACCUACUCCGGUGUAUCUGAACCUGAUGUGGGGGAGGGGUGGUCGUUUUUAUCCGGCACACUGAAAGCAGCCUUUCUUGCAACAUGGACUGUCCUUAGAAUUCAUUGCUUUGUGAAUUUUUUUUUUAGUACCAGCAGAGAUGAAAUGAAAUCCAGGAUUUUUUCAGACCCAGUUAGAAAUGAACAAUAAGACAUUUAUCAUUAAUAAUCAGACUGAGCUUAUUGUAUUUCAUGGGAUUUAGCAUGUGUCCAUGUUUGUCCAAUUAAAUGUUUCCAUCCAUAACAUGUGUUUCUUCCCUAGGUGGAAGGAUGGGCAGGUGUGGAUCUUUUUCUAUGAGCAAAUUUUCCUUCUAUCAUGUUUAAAUACAUAAAAUAUCAUAGCUAUUUCCAAUAGCUGUGUAUUUGCUAAAAAAAGUUGUUUAAGUAUAAAGAUUUACAGGUCACAUUUUGACUUCUGAUAUAUAUGGAAUCUUAAGAAAUUAUACUAAAUACACUUGUAAAUUAUAUCGAUUAGGAAGUCUGUGAGAAAGACAAUUUACAGAAACGCCAACUGGAUUGAGACUAGAGCAGAGUUGUUCAAAUAUGCUGGUUCUGGCCUCCUUUGGAUUUUUAUUUGUUCCCUUAUUACUGUCAGGUAGACUUCCCCUGAGAAAUUUAGGUGGAGAAUUUAAAGGCGAUGUGUUUUCAGGAAGACUUAGUGGCAAGACCAGAAGGAAGUCUUAGUGAAAUAUAGCAAAGGUCAUUAUAACGUGGCCUUGUCUCAUAACUCUAGAGGAAGUAGGUAAGAGGUAGUGUCAGAAAGGGAAAGAUACAGAGGUGUUUCUAAUGCGGGCACAGGAAUAUGUGGCAAUGAUAGAAUAUUACUAAAGUUUUCCUCUAGAAUGAGUCAUUGCCAAAUAUAAUUUGAAGCUUUAUGCAGCUUCAAGAAAAUAUCAAUUUCUAUGAUUUUUAUGAACUUGCACUUUAGAAAGGUUGGCAAAUUGAUAGACAAUGAAUAAAUGCGUUCAGAAUUCACAGUUGAAGCUCAUAUUGUGGCUUGAAUUUAGCUAGGUACGAUACCAAAGUUAGUGGCACAUGGAUGUCUUUCCGAUGGUCUGAUUUGUUAAAAACAAUGCUGACAGAUCAAUAUAAAUAUAAAUAAAAUGCCAAAAUAAUUUGACAGAUAACUAGGUAUUCUAAGCUUAAUUGGGAAGCACGGUUUACAUUAUAGUUUAAGACUAGACAGUAGUUUUUCAAAUCAAGUAUCUAACCACCCUAAAGAAAUGAAUUUCAUUGUGAAGCUAAAAUGAUUACGUACUAUAGCCCCUAACUUAUUAGAGACAGAUGUAUCCUUGGUCUAACAAGCUCCAUAUUGUUAAAUGGCAAUGCUAGCAUCUCCCUUCUUCAGUGUUAUCCAAAAUGUAAUCUUAAUACUAUUUUAUUGAAUCUACGGUGAUAUCUUGUUAUUUCCUUUUUGUUCUUGUUUUUGUUUGGGUGGUAGUCAGGGUGUGUGGUGCGGUGGGUGUUCAGAGUGUUGGGGGUCAGUUUGUAUGUAUUUCCAGUGAAUAACACUGAAAUAGUUGGUGGACUUAUAACCGGAGUUCUGUGUCCUCAACAUUUCAUAUCCAGGAAAAUUUGCUACAUUAAACAAAAAUCAGAACAAAGAGACUGAUAUCUGUUCCCACAUGAACUAUUUUCCUAUCAAUAUAAAGUAUAAUAAAAUGUGAUAAGAAGCAAAAUUUGGCAUAGUUUUAUAGGAGUUUGAUACUGUAGGUCCACAUACAUCAGAUAUUCAACUAAUUUAGUAUAAAUAGUCUAGCACUGUCAAAUGAGAGGCAGAUAGGAUAACUUCCUUAGAGAGCACAUAGUUAAAAUAAUACUUGGAAAUGACCAAUGGUCAAAUAUGGGCAUAACUUUUCAUUUUAGAGAUACCUUGUUGUAUAGACCAAUUUAGUAAUAGUGUGUAUUUACUCCUAAGAAUUUGCUGACCAAAGUACUCUGCCUUCCCCCUAGUGUUCCGAUAAUAAGAUUUCAUAUUCUGUGAGCAUUGCCUAUUUCUCCAUCCUAUGAGCCCAUGAACAGUCAUCAGCCCUUACAUCUCUACUUUCCCAAGAUACUGCUAAAAAGGAGAAGUCCAGUUCCUUCCACAGGCACUGCCACUACCACAUGGCAAACUUGGCCUCUUCCAUGGAGGACUGUACCAUGUUCAGUGGUUAUUUAGUCAAAUUGAAUCACCACCCAUCUGCAGCCCAGUUCGACUUUCCCAUGAUUCUUAGGAAGGCCUUGGCCUCCAUUUUGAAAACAGAAAACAAAACCACAGAGCGAUGAGGGUCAAAGAAGAAGUUAAGAAAGCUGUAGCAAUUGUUAAGACGUGGAGACUUUUUGUUUAAUUUUUGUUCAUUUCCCUUGUAUUGACUCUCAGGUAGAUGCACUAAUGACCUAUAAUUCUGUUAGGUGCUUUAUGAAACAGAGGGAAAUGGUAUACACAUGUGUAGAAUCAGAGCCACAAUAUUGGUAAUUAGCUCAAUGGAACAAAAAAUGGAUGUUAGGCUAUUUGCUAGAAGUUUGAGUGCAGAUUUGACAAGGCAAGGAAAACAGAUUGCACUCCAGAGAGAACCGGCUUAACGCUUGAAUUCAGAGACCUGCAGAUUCCUUCCUUGUUGAGUCCUGCAAAUAGAGAAGAGGGUAAGAAAGAGAAGUAAUUCAAAAGGCGGGGAGGUUAGGAGAGUAAACUGAAUUUUUCCAUGGAAAUAAGAUGGUUUUUUUUAAUGUUUGUUUUUUUUUUUGGACCCUUUUAAGCCAUUGCUUUCAGUUUGCUUCAAUGCAGUCACUGAAAUAGCUUAGAAAGAAAUCUUUGAUAUGCCAGAUCAACCAACAGUUUUAAAAUAUCCUUUUGUGCCUCCAUUUAUAAUGCAAAUAGUCAGUUGGCAUUUUGGGUUCAUCUCACCAUUGUCUGUGAAGUGGGUUAACAUACACAGAGUGAGGAAGAGAAGGGAGUCCCACAAGAGAGCGCCUCUUUGAUAGUUCAAUAAUAGUAAAAAGUGUAUUUAGGUCUUUUCUAAAUACCUUUCACCUCCUAAGAAUAUAAAAAAAAAUGAGAGGAAGAGAUCUAAGAAGAAUAAAUUGUGGUUGCCUUCUACGUUAGCUGAAUGACUAAAGAUAUUGUUCUAUGAAUUACCCAAUACUUAAAUAUUCCGAAGUCUGGCCUUUAUGAGCUCAUAAAAGACUUUGCUUAUGUAUCUAGGAAAGCCAGUAUCUUUAUAUACUGUUAGAACAGAACUAGCAUACUGUUUCAAUAUAAGUUUGAAAACCAGCAGAGAUUUUGUUAUAUAAAGCAACUGGGCAAUCACCUUAAACCCACGUUUACAUUUAGUUUUAUCGUACAUAAACAUUCCUUAGCUGAAAUAGUUUUAAAAACUGGUAACCUAUGUUUGAGAAUGAUGGAAAGAGACUGAAUCCUAGUUGAAAUAUUAUUGCCACUGUAGUGUUUUAUUCAUGGGAAUCUCCAAUCUUUUUUUCAGAUAUACUAAAAAAGCCAAAAUUCAUUAAUGUCAGAAACACAAACGAGGGUUGGCAGUGAUCAUGCAUCCAUGCUGGGAGGAGGGAAGGCUGGGAGCCCUGUACAGUGUAUAAACCCCAGAUUCUACUUUUUCAUUUGAGUUCCUCCGUAAAUCCUCUCAUGCAUUCUGAAGCUUGAGAAUUUCUUCUAGGCAACUGUUGUCAAAAUACAUUUUCCGACAAAUACCCCCAAAAAUGCAACCAAGAGCAACAAUAUUUCAGGAAGCUUCAGCUCAAGUGUGAGUAAUAGCCAUUGGGUAAACAGAAGUUUUACCAUCUUCUGUUUCAUGAUUGAGCUUUUCAAAUGUAAACAGUUUGUGAGGAAAAAAGUGGGCCAUGUCAGAUUGGAGAAACAGAGGAAAGCUUGACAGGAGGUGUGCUUUGGCAGGAGAGGUAGUUAGGAUACAUCUGUGAUUCCAAACUGGUUGAAAUAUCUUGUCUUUGAAGUCAUCAUUCCUUCUUCUCCCUUUCCCUCCUCGCCUGCCCCUGCCUCAUGGGCACCGGCAUGGACUUUUUUUUUUGCCUUUGCUUCUCUCAGGGACAUGAGUUCAAACCCUUCACAUUCUCCCUUCUCCUCUCAUUCAUCUCCCCAGACCCUUCUCCCACUUGGGCUUACUAAGCAACCAUUACUCUCCAGGUCCUCUCCUUGCCUCAGCCUUGGUUAAGUAUCUUUUAUAUAUAUUUCUUAAUGUCUAUAUUUUAGGAGAAAAAAGAUCUCCUGGUGACUCCCUUUCUUUUUUAAUCUGAGCUGAAUUACAUUUUACAACUCUGAUUAAAGACAAAUCUUUAUUUUUCUACACUGCUCCUUCUUCUGUCUCAUUUAACACAGCUGGUGUAAAAGUGAUCAAUGCUGAAAAGCUUAGCGUAUCAAGACUUCUUUGCAGAAAUGAUGAUAAAAUACCGUGAGAAAGGAUGCUACAUGUACUCUGUAGUGAAACCCUACCCAGGAUCCUCUUUAGUGGCUGCUACGUGCUCUCCUGGCUGUUUGAGUGUGGCUGGUAAACUCAGCACUGUCUCCUUCUCUGGAGAAUUGCCCUCUGAUCAAUGACUGCCUGGGAAGGAGGAAGCUUGCAAAGGCCAGCCUUUCAGCCUCAAGGUGGACCCAAUGCUGGGUUGCGAUUUGUACUCCAGAGCUUCUCCAUGGUGUCAGCUGAGCUGUUCUCUGGCCGAGCUUGUCUAGUGUUCUUUCCCUCUUUCUUCUCUCUCCUUCUUCUACAAAUGUUCCUCAAAAAAAAAAAAAAAAUCUUUCCAACAAGAAUUCCUAUCUCAGUCUGUGUCUAGAGCAGUCACCUAAGACAUACACCUUUCAAAAUAAAGAGGGGAGCCUGAGUGGCUCAGUCGGUAAAGCAUCCAAUUUCAGCUCAGGUCAUGAACUCCUGAUUCAUGAGGUCGAGCCCCAUGUCGGGCUCUGCACUGACAGCUCAGAUCCUGAAGCCUGCUUUGGAUUCUGUGUCUCCUUCUCCCUCUGCCCAUUCUCACUAGUACUGUGUCUCUGUCUCUCACUCCCCCAAAAAUAAAAUAAAAAUUAAAAAAACAUUAAAAAAUUCAAUACAUAAGAAAUGACUAGUUUUAAGAUGGAUGUUGAUAUGUAUUUGGAAAAAACAGAAUGAGAACUUAAGAUGUUUUCAGUUGUGGCAAAGCUUAAGAACUAUAGAGAUUCUAUCUUUUGCCUCAUAAAAAAGAGGAAAUACUUAUUAAGGAGUUGCAAAUAUUUAAAAUGUUAUUAGCCCAGAAAAAUCCCUUGAGUGGGACUGCAGUAGUCUUCUAAGUACUUAUUUUAUGACCGACUUUAUAAUUUCCAAAGUAGUUUCAAUUACAUGAACUAAAGUCAAUCUCAUGGCAGGCAUGACAAGCAGGGAUAAUUAUUAGCCCCAUUUUCCACAUAUGAAGACUGUCUCAGAGAGGUUGAAUGAUGCCAUUAUCUCCUAGGUAGUAAGUACCUGGCCUGUAGUUGGUGCUCAAACCCAGGUGUCUGUGUGAAACGUGAGUGAGAUUUGCUGAUUAAUUUAAGUCAUGUUCUUAAGUUUAUUAUAGGCUGGAUCUUCAUAAUUCUGUUAUUAAAUUUAUUUGGGCUGCCUGAGCAAUCCACCCACUAAUCUCGAGUUAAUCUGGGGCAAAGUGGUCAAAUUCAUAUAAAUGUGUAUAUUGGUUAUCCAUUGAUGUGUAAUUAUCUUAAAAAAUAGCAGCUUAAAAUAAGAAAUAUUUAUUAUGUCAUAGUUUCUGUGGAUUAGGAAUCUGAGGGGUGCUUGAGUGGUGCUGCUGUCUCAAAGACUUCUCAAAUCUAUAAUCCAGGUGUUAGGCAGAGUUGCAGUCUCAUCUAAAGGCUCAGUUGAGGGAGGAUUAACUUCUAAACUUACUUAGGUAGUUGUCGGCAGGGUUUAGUUCCUGGGGAGUUGUUGGACUGAGAACCCCAUUUCUUUACUGGCUGAUGGCCAGAAGCCAUCCUCAGUCCCAUAUUACAUGGCCCUUUCCAUAGGGCAGCUCACAAUAUGGCAGCUGAUAUCCCUCAGAGGGGGUAAAUGACAGAGAGUAAGAAAGGACAGACAAGGUGGAGGCCAGAGCUUUUUUUCUAACUUAAUCUUGAAGUGCUAUCGAGUCACUUUUACUGUGUUCUGUCCAUUAGAAGUGAUUCACAAGGUCCAGGUCCCUACCAGUGGGAGGGGAUGAUACAGAAUGUGAAUAUCAGGAGGUAGGAGCCAUUUGAGAAGCUGCCUACCAUCACAGCAUGAGAAGAUGCUUUCAGGAAAAAAGCGACUAUUUGACCCAGCAGAGAGCAUUUUCCUGAUGUAGGGGUGAUGUGCAGCAAUUAGCUUGUUUUGGUCUGGGAUGACUGACAGCGAUUCCAUGGAUUGUUUUGUGAUAUUAGACAAAGGUUCUCGGGGCAAAAUGUGAUUAGAAUAUGUUCAACCUGAUGACAUGUAUGUUAAGCCUGUUGGCACGUAGCAGCCAAUUUCAUUGUAUGACCUACUGGCUAGAGACAUCGAGAGUAAGAGUCAAAUCAUUUGGAGAAGAGUUGUUUAGUGAGUUAGAAUGAAUGGAGUCUUUAGUGAGUGUCCGCAUCAAAUUCUGUCCCAGUUUGUUGCUUGUCAUGCCCUAUUCUCCAUCUGGGAUGCCCAAGGCACUCUUUUUCAGGACAUUUGACCUACAAGUCAUAUUUCAGAAACUACUGAUUUGGUGCUUGCUGAUGGAGUUUAGACUCUGAGGAGUCUGCCUGCUGGAUUACGUACAGACAAAUGACCCAUCAGAUGCUAAAGGCAAAAGCUUAAAGUGCACUUGUGAAUUAAACCACAGUAUUGUCAGAAAGGAAGAAUUUAUUAUGUCAUUAAAUUUAAUUCAAUAAGUUUUGCUUCUUUAGAUGCACUGCGCUGAGGGAAAAGUAAGAAAUUAAUUUUAAACAAGUGUUAUUUUUCUUCUGCUUAUCCAGGUAAAGGAUAUUCAUGUGAAAGAGACAGAAUAUUUUGAGAUUUUAAAAAAAGCCAUUACAACAAAUGAUAAAUUGUGAAAACUGGGCAUGACUGCCUAGCCAGGCAUGAACUUCUAAGAUCAGAGACUAUGUGCUUCAGUUAGUAAACACAGAGGAAAAUCAACCUUGCCUAAUUUAAUGACACCCUGGGUGAAGUUUUCAGGCUUUGCAUAAAAAUCACAGAGGCUCAUUGAUACAAAGAUGUCAGCAGUAAUUGUGGUUGAUGCUUAGAGUUUAAUCUGAAAGUUAGGAUGGGCAGAAAAUGAAAAUCAAGAUGGAGAAUUUUUGCUUCAAAUCUGGAAAUUAUUAUGAUAUGAAGAAAAUUCUCAUAGGUUAAAUAUUAGAAUAAAACAUAGAAGUGUGAAAUAUGUGGUAUUGAAUCUUUCUACAUACAUCUCAUGAUUGCUUUAGAGCAACAGAGAAAAUGUUGAUAAAUAGUAACUUAAAGGUAAGUGAGGAAAUUGCUGAGUGUUUGUACCUUUUGUCAUUUACCAAUCAAAACAAUACAAUGAUCUUACAGGGGGUCUAGAAUGAAGUCCAGUGAUAAAUACAAAAAUUGGACUUUCCAUUGUAUUGAUAGUGCUCAUUCUAAUAAGUGAGAGACUUUUAGUAUUUGUAUUCUAGGUAAUAAAUUUUCUAUUAGUAACUAUUAUGUUAGCGGAAUAAAAGCAAGAGUGCAAAUCCUCAAAGAACAGAUUCUGGUCAUUGUUUUAAGUCAAUAAAUUCCAUAGCAAAUGGCUUAAGUCAAGUAACAGAAAAAAAACAGUUGACCAUUGAACAACACAGGGGGGUAGGGGUACCCAUGCCCUGCGCGGUGGAAAAGCUGUGUAAAACUUUUGACUCCCCAGAAACUUAAUUAUUAAUAGCCUAAUGUUGACUGGAAGCCUUACCAAUAACAUAAAAAGCUAACCAACACGUAUCAUAUAUGAUGUAUGUAUUAUAUAUUAUAUUCUCUAUAAUAAAGCAAGUUAGAGAAAGAAAAUAUUAUUAAGAAAAUCACCAGAAAAGACAACCUACUGAAAGGGAGAAGAUAUUUGCAAAUGACAUAUCCUGUAAGUGGUUAGUAUCCAAAAUAUGUAAAGAACUGAUACGACUCAGUACCCCAAAAGCAAAUAGUCCAAUUAAAAAAUGGGCAGAAGACAUGAACAGGCAUUUCUCCAAAGAAGACAUACAGACGUCCAACAGACACAUGAAAAGAUGCUCAGUGUUACUCAUUAUCAGGGAAAUACAAAUCAAAACUACUAUGAGAUGCUGCCUCCCACCUGUCAGAAUGGCUAAAAUCAAAAACACAAGAAACAGCAAGUGUUGGCAAGGAUGUGGAGAAAAAGGAACACUUGUGCACUGUUGGUGGGAAUACAAAUUGGUGCAGCCAUUGUGGAAAACGGUAUGGAGUUUGCUCAGAAAGUUAAAAAUAGAACUACCCAACAAUCCAGGAAUUGCACUAUUGGAAAUUUACCCCCAAAAUACAAAAAAACUAAUUCAAAGGGAUACAUGCACCCUGAUGUUUAUAGCCACAUUGUUUACAAUAGCCCAACUAUGGAAGCAGCCCAAGUGUCCAUUGAUAGAUAAAUGGAUAAAGAAGAAAUGGGACAUAUAUACAAUGGAAUAUUUUUCAACCACAAAAAAACAAGAAACCUUGCUAUUUGCAAUAACAUGAACAGAUCUAGAGGGUAUUACGCUAAGUGAAAUAAGUCAAAGACAAAUACCAUAUGAUUUCACUUAUAUGUGGAAUUUAAGAAACAAAACAAGCAAAAGAAAAAAAGAGACAAACCGAGAAACAGACUCUUUUUUAAGUUUAUUUAUUUAUUUAUUUUGAGACAAAGGGAGAGAGAGAGAAUCCCAAGUAGGCUCCACACUAUCAGUACAGAGCCCAAUGUGGGACUUGAACUCAUGAGCCGUGAUAUCAUGACCUGAGCCAAAGUUGGACAUUUGACACACUGAGCCACCCAGAUGCCCCACAUAUGGUGCACUUUUUUUUUUUUUGCUUUUAUUCAUGCAUUGUUAAAGUGAUGAUUUUAAUUUUUUGAAGACAAUCUGAUUUGGAAUUUUCCUCUUCCUUCCUUCCUUCCUUCCUUCCUUCCUUCCUUCCUUCCUUCCUUCCUUCCUUCCUUCCUUCCGUCUCUCUGUCUCUAUCUCUGUGUUGUGCUGGAGUCAUAAGUUUUAUUUUAGUUUUAUUCUGAAAUUAUUUUAAUCAUGGACCAUUACCAGGAAUAACAGAUAAAAAAAAUCCCACCUUCUAGUUUUUCAAUAUGUUUAGUAAUGCAAAGAAUAUUUUAAAAAAGAAUAGGUUAGUGGUCUCACAUUUCAAGGUAAGGCACACCUUGUCAGGAAGGGAAAGCUGAGAUGGGAAAUUCAUCUGCUCUUUGUGGAGCUUGCAAUUUUUCCAAAAGUAUCCUUCUCCACAAUUCUGGGAUGAGUAUCUUGCCUGGUUUCUGUGUCAGUUGUGUUUUUCCCCCAAGAAUGGAAGGUUUUAAGUGAGGAAUGACAGACCAAGGUCACCAUGGAUGUCUACAGAGUUUUCCUAAAGAACCUUUGUGUGCCCAUUAGUGGAGUGUCAGGAAAGAAACCAAUUCCACUCAUAAUACCAUUUUGAGCAUCUCUUACAUAUGUGAAGCUAGGUUUUUGCCUGUAUCUAUAAAACUGUGGUCUUUACACUUACCUUAUGAGUUUAUUGUGUGGAUUAAUUAAGUAAAUGCAUUUAAGCUCCUAUAAGAGUGUUUAGAAUACAGAAAGACAUUCUGUACUUUAUAUAUAUUUAUUUGUUAGCUCAGUGUUUCUCCAAUUUUAGUGUUCAUAAGAAUCAUCUGGGAUCUCGUUACAAUGUGGAUGAUAGCUCAGUAGGUCUGGGUUGGGGUCUGAGAUCCUGCAUUUCUAACAAGCACCCAGGUGAUGUCAGUGCAGCUGAUCCACAGACUGCACUUUGAGUAGCAAAGAUUAGGCAGUGAGUUAUCUCCUUGGUUAGAUACAACUGUGACUAGAGAGCAAUGAAGUUUUAGUCCUGAUGGAGGGUUAUCCUACUGAUGAUCCAGAAGCUCUGAGAAGUGGCACAACACUAUUUCACAUGUAUUUCUUGCCAGUAAACUCUCUGGAAAUCUGAAGGAUUCUAUAAUGUAUCACAGAAGUAAUUAUAACAUGUAAUUCAUAACCUGAAGUCCAAUGAACUAUAAUCCCACCAGCCCAUUCACACUUCGAAGAGCGUUACGGCAUUUGGGAGAAAUGAGUGCUCUAGGGGAGUAGAAUUUCAUUUGGUAAAUUCAAAAACCAUUUUUGGAUUACACUACAGAGAAUCUUCAAGAUGAAGUCUACUUGCUGUGUUGCUGGGAAACCUCUCAAGGAUUUCAUUUCAGGGAUUUUUUUUUAGCAAGAUCCAGGUGCUUGCCAUGACCGGUGACAGGUUGCUGUGGAACAUUAGUUGCAUGGUCAUUCAUCCUGUUUACAAGGUUUACCUACCGACCGACCUUGCCUGGGCUGUUACUUCAGGUAUGUGGCUGUGAACAUUGUUGUCUGUAUUCGCUCUGCUGUGCUUUUCAUCCCUGUGACUUAUAUCUUUUAUACCUGGAAGUUUGUACCUCUUAAUCUCCUUCACUUAUUUCGCCCCUCCCCCCACCUGAAUUUUGUUUUCAGUCUAAAACAGUGAAUGGAUUCUGAGUGAGAAACAGGGGGCUAGAAAUUUGAACUUCAUGGGUGUUUUAUCUUUGUAUUCAUACUCAAACUUUGUAUGGAAAAGUAAAACUUGCUUUUGUCCUGGAAUGAAGGAAAAUGGAAUGAGUAAUUCUGACUUCAAGCCCGAGUUUACAAACUCCAAGUGCUACCGACAGUGACAAAAUCUGUGAGUUAAUAUUUAUCCCGCACCUUGGUACCUUCAGAUGAAAAGAACUACACAAAUAUCAAGCACUGUGAACUCUGUAGAAUUUUCAGUCCUUACAAUUUGCUAACUGCAGGGUCCUCAGUUGGUUCCUUCUGGAAGGUAUUCCUUUUGCAGGACCUCGGCAGCACAGGUUUAUGCCGGUGUCUGAAUUGAUUAGUAAAAUCAUAGUUCUCACCUGUUUUCUUUUGCAGACUUUCUGAACUUUAAUAUGGCCAAUGCCACGGGCUACCAUUUUAGUCUAAACUAUUUUAGCAGCAACUUUAUGUCUGAAUAGCCAGAGUAAAAAAAUAUGUUUGAAAUCAUGUUGGAUGAAUUCUACAUAGUGUAUACCACCUUAUGUUGGUUACAUAAAACUUGAGGUUUUUCUUUGACGUUUUUGUCCAAGACUAGAGGUAACUGCCUCUCAGACGUGAGUCUCUCAGGUGUGCAAUACAUCUUUUUUAAACUGUCAAGCACAGACAGGGAGAGGCAGCUUGAAGGGAUCUUUUACUAGCUGGUAUUAUUGGAAAUGAGAUGCUGAUUUACCUGUGUAUAUUUUUUAACUGCAAGAUAAUCUGUAAUGUGCAACACUGUUCUGAAUGCAAAAUGCUAUAAAAGAAGGCCUUUCUUUAGGAACUUCUGGAAGAGUUGCAUUACAAAGUUACAUUCAAUGGUAUAUUUUUAGAAAUUCAGCGUUUUAGUGACCACAGAUCUACCGUGUAGGAAGUGGUCCAUCAAACUGAGCCCAUGGAUUUUGAUAGCACUCUCACAAAAAAUAUGUAGAAUUAUCUGGCGACCUCAGUAAGUGGAAGAAAACCAACAACAUACUCUCACACGCACCCAUACUCACUCACACCCACACUCAGCUACGCAUACACAAAGUCACAAACGCACUGGUUCUUGCCCCAAAUUUCACAUGGGAAAGUCUCACGAGAAAUGACAAGGUUGUGAGACAAGUUAGAGUAGAAAUAUAAAGAGCUGAUAAAUAAUUGGCAAGUGGCAAGCAGUUGUUAAAGAGGUCUGUUGUAUAAAGAGGUUUAAAGACUAGACCAAAAUGUAAAUGCCAGAUUCCCCUUGUGUCUGUUUCAUCACUGUGCCCGUUCCCCAUCCCCAACACCUAGGAGGCUGAAUUAUUUUCUUCCCUCAGACUAAAAUAAUUUCCGUACACAUGGUCGAAAUUCAAGAAAUGGAUAUUGGAAAGCAUCAGGAAAUUAGGAGACAUAACUGUUGAAUUAUGAAGUAUAACAGUUUACCUAAUGUGUGUGGCAAACACUUCCUUAUUCUCCCCACCCUCCUACUUCCCUCCCACUGUUCCCCACCCCACCUGGUGUCAUAAACACAAAUUCAGAGGCUUUUUGCCAUCCUUGCUUUACAGGAAUCCCCAGAUCGUGAUGCUUUCAGACGACACCUUUUGACAUUUUUCGUUCUUUCUUUCUUCCGAUGAUUUUUUACCAACAACAUUUGAAUGUAGAGUUGUUGGUCUUGCAGGCUGUGAUACAUAUUUUCGUCUCCAAAUCUUUUGAACAUUGUAAGGCUGGUUGUUGAAGCUUGGAGUUACCCAGGUGGUAGUUAUUAACUGACGUGUCAUGGUUCACGGUGAACAAGCUAGGUCAACAAACUUGUUUUUCAUCAUGGCUGGUUUUAAUUUGAAAGGGAGCUUGUUACCUAUUCGAUAAUGCUUCACUGAAGUUCACCUAUUUCAGGUAGAUUAAUAGCUUGUUCAGGGAUGAGAAGCCUAGGGGCCCUGUUGUAACUGUGUGCUGCAGGUUCAAGGUUCAAACUUCAGAAAGCAGAAAAGUCCUUGUUUUUCUUCUACCUAUUUGCCAGUGCAUGCGUUAGUGAACCUUUAUACUUGGUAACACUUGAACGGUCACAGGUUUGAGAUCUUAUAGUCAUAUUAGGAGCCGUGUUAUAUAAUCAAGAGAGAGUUGUGCUCUGGUAGUUCUUGCCAAAUUACAAGACUUUUCAAUUUCGAAGAUCAUGGGGUUGGCGGACAUUUAAAAAAAUAUGUGUAUAUAGUUGCCUGGUCAUCCGUUAGGAAGAGAGAUUUAAAAUCUCUUUAAAAUGGAAUAUUAAAUUUUGUGCAAAUCCGGAUCCUGUAGGGAGGUAUUAGAUUGAAGUAAAAAUGGAGAAAAGGCUUUUCAUGUUUGAACCGAUCCAUGAUGAUGACAUAUCAGUAGUCCCUUAAAUGAAUGUCUAAGUACAUUUAUAAUAUGUGAAAAAAAUUGUAGUAAAUUACUCGAAAAGUUGCUUCUUUUCAAAAAGGGGAGUUUCGCCCUAUUUGUUUUCUUUUAACCAUUCGCGUAAUAGUUCCUUGCACACAAAAGAUGUAUCAGCUAGCUCUGUCAAUCUGGAGAAGAAAAAAAAAAUUUAAACUGCACUUUCUUCCUCACAUGAUUCUUAUGAAUCUCAGUGUAGCUGAGGUUCCCACUCAGAUCUUGCUCCUGGAGCAUUUAAAUUCAACACUACUAUUUGAAGAUUAAACCGCAAUGGAAAUAUUAAUGAUGUCUCUGCGCUGAAAGGAAUUUGGCAAUCUCUUCAGUUGAUAGGUUUCUAAAGAAACUCUCCAUUUCAAAUAAAGAUCUGAUAUCUGGAUCUCCUAACCAGUCUGAAACGUAGCUCACCUACGUGGAUUGGCUAUCUGAGAGCUUGUAAACAAAUUCAUAAAAUUGUCAUGCUGAUUAUAGUGUUGGCAAACACAAUGGCUGAUCAUGUUAUAAAUGUUUAUCAACACCCGCACUCACCCACCUGCUAAGAGGUGCUACGCUUUAAUGAAAUUGUUUGAAUAUCAAGGCUGGUUGCUAAGAUACAAUGUUCUUGUUACUAGGGAUGUGAUGCUUGCAGAUUUCUGUUAUCAAAUAAUGAUUAGAGAUGUGCUAACCUCAAGGUGCUCAGUGCAGUGAAAGGUUUACCGAGCUACAAAUUAGUAAACUGUCUGCUUGAGCAGGCACUGGCAGAAGAAACAUGUGCCUCGUCCAUACACGACUGGCAUUUGAAAAGAAGGGAGGACAGAGGGAGCACAGCCAUGAAUGACGGGUCCUUGAAAGUUUGCCACGGAGGGUUUACCUACUCUGCUGCCCAGCGUGAUAUACCUUUAGCCAGCUAGGGAAUUUGUUGAAAUCCAUUGCCAAUAACUCCUUCCUUUCUUAUGAAAAAUCCAUUCUUUACAUUUCCUUUUAAUUGAUUGUUAUGGAAUUAUUAUUGUUAAACACAUCACAUCUCUUAUGAGAAAUAAAAGCACACAGAAGUGUAAUGCUACAAAAUGGAGAUGUAUGUUAGCGUGUGCACAUUCUUAAGAUAAUGCCAGGUUUAAGAGACUUAUUGGUAUAAAUGUCAUAUUUAGCACGAUGAGUUCUGCAAUAAUGAUGCAGAUUUUUUUCUAUUGAGAAGGCAAUAUUCCAUGAUAUCUACUACAGUGUAAGAUCUCAUGUAGGUGCUGGACUGCUUCUCUUUCUUUUCUUGUUACCUUAAUGUAAUGGAGAUGACCAAAGCCCUGUUGUCUACAGUAGUCUGUCUGGUUGUUCAUCUUGUUAAAGUAGGGCCGGCGUUGCUGUGCUGUACCUAUUCUGGGGAUGUUUUGAGCACAACAUAUUCACACUGAAAACAUUUCUAUGAUUCUGUGACAGGCUUUGGAAUUCCCAAGUGCUCUACUCAUGACUAGUAAUAUUUGAGAAAUGUGUGGGCAACUGUACUUCUGGUGUCAUGUAUAAUUUUUACUCUUGUUACUUUAUAAGAAAUCUCAAUUAUUAGGAUCGCAGAUCUGAUGGGUAUUAAAUUGACUCUUGAAAGUUCCCUUAAUAAAAAUGGAAACUGUGGAUAUAUUUUAAUAAUGAAAGUGUUACAAGAGAAUGAUAUUCAGAUGUAACAUGUGGCCUUCCAUUAGAUCAUGACUACCAUGAGAGCAGAGAGUGAAUCUGUUUGGGCUCACUGUUGUUUAACCAUCCUCCAGAAGGCUGCCUGCACGAAAGAGGCACCUUAGGAAUCAAUGAAUGAUACCUAAAUCCAGAAAACUUUGUAAUAUCUGCAGCAGAUACACAGGCAUUUGUAAGUGGAAUUUUCCUGCCUUUUGUGCGGAGUACAAAGAGAUGGGAAGAAAAACGUGACAAUGCCUCACCUUUGUGAAAUAGAUUUUGCAUACCCUAAUUUUACAGAUGAGGAAAGCAAAGUUCAGAGGAAUGCGAUAAUGAAUUACUCAGUGCCACACAACCAAUGUGAGGCACAGCUGGGGCAUCGGUAAAUCUAGUCCUAUUUCCCAAACCCCAACCGCCUCUCUGAUAUUUGUGAGACCUGAGUGGGGAUAGUUAAGUGGGCACAGAUGGGGGGCACGUUUAAAUGCAGCAAACGUUAUGUGCCUAUUUUGUGCCAAACAUACAGGUAGGUAUGUGAAGGGUAAAAAGCAAUAAUUUAUAACGUCCUUGGUCAUAAGAAGUUUCGGUGUUGAAAAUGUUGAAAUAUGAUACGGUCACUUUAAGGAACUUGAAGACUAAAUGUGAGUUCCAAGGAAAAUAUAUUUAGCCUGAGCAUGGAGAGUUCUCAUGUAGGUGAGGUUAGGAGAUGGCAUUGAAAGGAUGGGUCUUUGUUUGAGAGAUGUGGUUUUGUUAUCAACAAGAUCCGGUUUGAAUUCUUGUUCUGCCACGUCCUGGCUAAAUUGGGGUGAAUUUCUUAGUCUAUAUGUGCUUUUCUUUCUUUCUU